rnacentral:rRNA from 1 species
GAUGAACGCUGGCGGCGUGCCUAAUACAUGCAAGUCGAGCGAACAGAUGAGGAGCUUGCUCCUCUGACGUUAGCGGCGGACGGGUGAGUAACACGUGGAUAACCUACCUAUAAGACUGGGAUAACUUCGGGAAACCGGAGCUAAUACCGGAUAAUAUAUUGAACCGCAUGGUUCAAUAGUGGAAGACGGUUUUGCUGUCACUUAUAGAUGGAUCCGCGCCGCAUUAGCUAGUUGGUAAGGUAACGGCUUACCAAGGCAACGAUGCGUAGCCGACCUGAGAGGGUGAUCGGCCACCCUGGAACUGAGACACGGUCCAGACUCCUACGGGAGGCAGCAGUAGGGAAUCUUCCGCAAUGGGCGAAAGCCUGACGGAGCAACGCCGCGUGAGUGAUGAAGGUCUUCGGAUCGUAAAACUCUGUUAUUAGGGAAGAACAAAUGUGUAAGUAACUAUGCACGUCUUGACGGUACCUAAUCAGAAAGCCACGGCUAACUACGUG